UUGGAAGCAGUAUAAAUGAGCAAGCAUAAAUAUCUGAGUGACUUUUAAAAGGGGCCAAAUUGUGAUGGCUAGAAGCCUGGGUUAGGGCAUCUCCAAAAUGGCAGCCCUUUGGGGAGUUCCCGGUAUGCAGUGGAGAGUACCUACCAAAAGUGGUCCAAGGAAGGACAACCAGUGACCCGACGACAAGCUGGUGUGAUCCCAUUGCAAAAUGGUCCCUGGUUUACGUCAUGUGGAGGGCCGGGUGUUUACCUGGGGAAGAAAUACAACAAGGAUGCACUAUGGGAAGAGGGCAGGCCGGCGGAGGCAGAGUGAUGGUGUGGGCAAAGAUUUGCUGGGAAACCUUCGGUCCUGGCAUUCAUGUGGAUGUUACUUUGACACGAACCACCUACCUAAACAUUGCUAAAGAUCAACUACACCCCUUAAUGGCAACGGUAUUCCCUGAUUGCAGUGGCCCCUUUCAACAGGAUAAAGUGCCCUGCCACACAAAAAUAGUUCAGGAAUGGUUUGAGGAACAUGACAAAGAGUUCAAGGUGUUGAACUCUUUGGCCUGCAAAUUCCCCAGAUCUCAAAACAAGUCCGAUCCAUGGAGGCCCCACCUCGCAACCUAAGGGAUCUGGUGCCUGAUACCACAGGACACCUUCAGAGGUCUUGUGGCAUUGAUGAGUCAGAGCUAUUUUGGUGGCCGAAGGGGGGAUCUACACAAGUUAGGCAGGUGGUUUCAAUGUUGUCACUGAUCGCUUUACUGUAAAUAUAUAUAUGUAUACAGUAUAUGCAGUAUAUUGUACAGUAAACAAGAUAUAAAGUGUUAAUUUGUGAGUUGUUGCUUAUAGGCAGAUUUUCUUACCUUUGAACAGAGACAAGCUAGCUGUUUCUCUUGUUUGCAGUUGUUAUGCUACACUGAGCUAAAUGAAUGCUGUCAGGAGGCUUUUAUUUAGCGUGAGAUAGGAAAGGAGUAUCGAUCUUUUCAUAUAACACUCAGCACUUAUUCACAAGAAAGUGAAUAAGUGUACUUCCUAAAAAAUGUUUUAAACAUGGGGCAAGAGUAACAACAAGAGUACCCCAGCCAGAAAAGGAACUGUGGAUAUUGCGGUUAUGUGGUAUACCUAUUAACUAUUACGUUACCAGGGCGUCUCCCAAAAUUUUAAAUUAUUGUUUUAAUCUCAAGUACUUAAAGGUGAUAUGAUUUUUAAGAAAAUAAAUAAACACUCACUGCUCUUUUCUCACAGCUCAGCAAAUCAGUUAAAAGAGCACUCCACCAGU